GAAGAGGGCUCUGCAAAUCAAGAAUAAACUUGGCUUCAUUGAUGGCAGCAUUUGUGAGCCAACUGAUAUAGAUAGUCCAUUGAUAGAACACUGGCUUCGUUGUAAUGAUAUAGUUAUCACUUGAUUGCAAAAUACCAUGGCAGUAGACAUUAAGGCAAGCACUUCGUAUGCUGAAACAGCACACCAACUUUGGCUGGAAUUAGAACAACGGGCUCAACAAAAUGCUCCCAGGAUUUAUGAAGUCAAGCAAAGCAUCGCUGGACUGCUGCAGGGACCGGAUAAUGUGAGUACCUAUUUUUAAAAACUGAAGACACUACUUGAUGAGUUAAUGAAUUAUGAGUCUAUUCCUAAUUGCACCUGUGGAGGGUUGAAGACAGUUGUAAGUAACCAAGAAAUAGAUUGGAUAAUGAAAUUUCUCAUGGGACUCAAUGACUCCUACAAAUUGCUCAAAGCUCAAAUCCUGCUAAUCAAGCCAUUUCAAAUUGAAUGAAGUAUACUCCACAAUUCGACAAGAAGAGAAGAGGAGGGAUAUUUCCACUGAUAUGCCUAGCACUGAAGGGAUGGCACUCGUGUCAAAAACUGUCCCCGAGAGGCAGAAAAGAGAAAUCUAGGGCCUCCAAAAAGGUAUUACUGCACUUUUUGCAAGAUACGAGGUCAUUCACUAGAAAUGUGUUUUAAGGCAAAUAAACAAAUCAGUCUGCAUACAUUGCCAAAUGCCUGGGCAUACUAUCAACAAUUAUUUUAAAAUCCAUGGAUAUCUACCAGGCCACACGCUCUAUGGAAACCCGCAAGCAAAUCUUGCUUCCACAAGCUAGAAAUCUCCGCCUAUGGUGCCUGCACAGGAGCAAGUUGGUAACAGGAACCAAGUUGGUUUGACUCAAGAUCAGUAUACUCAGUUGAUAGCUUUACUCAAACCACCAAUCAACCAGCCUGAUACGUUACCUACUAGCCAUGUUCAGGGUCUAAAUUUACUUUCUUCCAAACACAUAGAUACAUCUGAAGUUUCUUGCACCUACACGUGUUCAUCUGCUUACAGGGUAGAGAACAAAAUAAGUUCCAGCAUACCUUGGGUUAUGGAUACAGGAAGAGCCACAGACCAUAUGGUAUGCUCAGUAUCCUUUCUCACAAAUAUCAAAUCCAAAAUCUCACAAUCUGUUGCAUUACCUAAUGGAACUAUGGCAUUAGCUACUAAUAUAGGGAGUGUUAGAAUCACAGACAAUUUAUUACUCCGUAAUGUCUUAUGUGUUCCAUCUUUCUCAUUCAAUCUCAUAUCUGCUAGAAGAUUAGCUCAAGGAUCUAAGUGUUGUCUCAUUUUCUCUUCUGAUUCAUGUUAUGUGCAGGACCUUUCAACUUGAAGGACGAUUGGUCUCGGUGAAGUGAGAAAAGGCCUUUACCAUUUGAUGCCAAAAGAAGUCUCUCCCACAACUCUUGUUAAUGACUUACCAAAAUUGAGUAACCAAGUCGUUCUGUCGGCUGCCACUAAUGUUAGUUAGGAUGAUUUUGAUUUGUGGCAUUUCAGAUUAGGCCACUUAUCAGAUUCUAGGUUGCAC
rnacentral:lncRNA from 1 species